CAAACUCUCGUCAGACUCCGCAAUCGACCUCCAGACUCCACCGCCAAACAAUGGAGCAGUGGAAGCUUGGGCGAAUUCACAGAGAUAGAGAUGAAAGACUCUAGGCGUCAGAUCGUUGCGCUUCCUGUUGUUUUUCUCCUCGAUCGAUCUACAUUUUCUUUCUGGUUCGUUACCUUUCUCAGAUCCCCAAUCUUCUCCUUUUUCUACAAACCAUUUCAACUCAACAAGGAAAAAAGGAUAACAAGAAAGGAAAAAAGACGGAAACUCACCUACAAACACCGUACGCUGCGACUUCUGCAAGGUGAUCACGGGGAAGAGGGAGAGGACAGAACCCUAAUGGAAGGGAUCGAACUCCUAUAAAUAAAGAUGAACCCUAAGACGAACGAAUCAAUUUUUGAGAUCUAGAACACCGAUCAAAAUAAUCUCCAACAUCUCUCGAUUCUAAUUCGGAAGAAGAAGCAGAAACAACAGUAACUCCAGGUUUCUUCCCCCAUUCUGCAAGACUGCAAAAGAGUGGAGCUUAUAAGACCUUCAAACAUCCCCAGACAGUUUAUAUCCACCCAAGCUCUAGUAUAGCCCAGAUCUUCUGAUGGAGCAGCUUAUCCAGUCAAUUAGGUACCAUUAUCUAUGUCAACCAGGGAUAAGGAAAACAUAAUGGAUCACUUGUAAUAUUGAACCUGACAUACAACAUCUCUAUUGAUAGAAGAAAGCUUCCUAAUAGUUUUGUUGAGAGACUCUUCAAGAGAUCCCCAUUAUUGCUACAGAAACUGUCUUCGUCUGUUGAUGCGACAAGUGAAAUUGGUGGGAAAAAUGUUGAACUCAGAAGUUACUAUUCUGAAGAGGUUUCCUACAUCCAAUAAAAGCUCUCUUCUUCGAUCUCUCGUUUUGUCUGCUUCUAUUGCUGCUGCUAAAUCCGGUCUUUAUUUUUAUUCAAACAUUGACACAGACCCAACAAGACCAUCCUUAUUGAUUUCUGUUAAUAUCCCAAAGCAUGAUCAUCCAUCUUGGUGGCCAUGGAGAACUUGGGGACCAAUGUUUCUUCAGCCCUCUUUUAAUUGCCUAGGAAAUGUGGCAUUGUUUUUCUCUAGGUCUGGAGGAGAUAUUCCACCACCCGCAGAUACGAGCAAAUAAGAUAAAGGUUAUAAUGGGUGCUUCAGUAGAGAUUCAAUUGCCAAUGUCGCUGCAAUAACUGGUCCUACUGUAGUUAAUUUGUCUGUCUCACAAGAUUUACACAGAGUUACCUUGGGAAAGAGUGUUGGUUCUGGCACCAUAAUGGAUUCUGAUGGUACUAUAUUGACGUGCGCUCAUUUGGUUGUGAGUCACCAUGGCUUGUCAACCAAAGUGGGGAAGGUCAGUCAGUGUAAAGAUUAUUAAUUUUGUUUUGUAUGAGUCAGUGUAAAGAUUAUUAAUUUUGUUUUGUAUGAGCUGUAGGAGUAGUUUUUUACAGGUUGAUGUAACAUUACAAGAUGGUAGGACAUUUGAAGGAUAAUUGAUCAACGCGGACUUGCACUCUAAUAUUGCAAUAGUGAAGAUCGACUCCAAAACCCUACUUUCAUCUACAAAACUUGGCUCUUCAAGCAACCUUCGUCCUGGAGAUUGGGUGCUUGCAAUGGGGUGUCCUCUUUCCCUUCAGAAUAUUGUUACAGCUGGCAUUAUGAGGGUAAUUCAGUUGGACCUCUUGUGAGCAUUGAUGGUGAGGUUGUAGGUGUGAACAUUAUGAAAAUAAGGGCUGCUGAUGGAUUGAGCUUUUCUGUACAUUGAGUUGUGACAAUUAUUUAUUUAUUUGAUUAUGAUAUUAUUUUA